GCAUAUCAAAAAGCGGAGGAAAAGAAACCAACAGGGAUUGCCCCAGUAACGGCGAGUGAAGCGGCAACAGCUCAAAUUUGAAAUCUGGCCUCGGCCCGAGUUGUAAUUUGCAGAGGAUGCUUCUGGCGCGGCGCCUUCCGAGUUCCCUGGAACGGGACGCCACAGAGGGUGAGAGCCCCGUAUGGUCGGACGCCAAGCCAGUGUGAAGCUCCUUCGAAGAGUCGAGUAGUUUGGGAAUGCUGCUCUAAGCGGGAGGUAUACGUCUUCUAAAGCUAAAUACCGGCCAGAGACCGAUAGCGCACAAGUAGAGUGAUCGAAAGAUGAAAAGCACCUUGAAAAGGGGGUUAAACAGUACGUGAAAUUGUUGAAAGGGAAGCGCCUGUGACCAGACUUGCGCCGGGCGGAUCAUCCAGCGUUCUCGCUGGUGCGCUCCGCCCGGCUCAGGCCAGCAUCGGUUCUGGCGGGGGGAUAAAGGCGGCGGGAACGUGGCUCCCCCGGGAGUGUUAUAGCCCGCCGUGCAAUGCCCCCGCUGGGACCGAGGUUCGCGCAUCUGCAAGGAUGCUGGCGUAAUGGUCACCAGCGACCCGUCUUGAAACCACGGACCA
rnacentral:rRNA from 1 species